GAUGAAGAACGUAGCGAAAUGCGAAAAGUAAUGUGAAUUGCAGAAUUCAGUGAACCAUCGAAUCUUUGAACGCACAUUGCGCCCGCUGGAACUCCGGCGGGCACGCCUGUCCGAGCGUCAUUUCAACCCUCAGGCCCCCCUUCGCGGGCGGGCCUGGUGUUGGGGCCCGGCCGCUACCCUGCGGCCGUCCCCUAAAUCCAGUGGCGGCCUCGCCGUGAUCCCUUGCGUAGUAAUGCACCUCGCACCGGAGAGCGCCGUGGCCACGCCGUAAAACCCCCAAUUUUCAAUGGUUGACCUCGGAUCAGGUGGGAAUACCCGCUGAACUUAAGCAUAUAAUAAGCGGAGGA
rnacentral:misc_RNA from 1 species